CAAAAAUUUAGCUAUGGCAACAAGUCUUGUAGAUUUGAAACAAAUACUUUUUGGUCUUAGAUAUAACUAAUAAUUCUUAUUCAUGAUGCUAUAGUCUAUAUAGAGUAAUGUAUAAACGUUCAGUAAGUUACAUCGAUGAUGGUCAUGACCAUGUUAGCCUGCUCAGCAGCUCCCCCCCCCCCCGAAAAUUUGAAGCGGAAAUUAUUUCCUUUAAACAAAAUUUCGAGCUGCGAGAAGGCUAGACCACAUCAGCGAUAGCAUCAUGCUGUAUAUUAAUAGAAUAAACCCAUACAAGCUUUCUUAUUUAUAUCAAUAUUCCUGUGACCACCAAUAUAUAAAAAACUAUACAUUUACUCACACUCAAAGAGUGGAGGUUCAAUCUGAGCUUCUCUUGAGUGUCAAUGCUGUUUUUGAAUAGCUGAAGGUUAGUGUCGUAACUAUACUAUACUAUACUAUACGACUACUCGCCCUCCAGCUAUUCAGUCAGAAACAGCACUGACACUCAAGGGAAGCUCAGAUUGAACCUUGACUCUUUGAGUGUGAGUGAGCUUUUAGAAUACAGGCGGAAGACGCUAUAUUUAGCAAUCGCGGGACAGUGUUUU